AGAUGUUGUAGAACUACAGCUUCCAUGAUGCUUUCUCAUUCUAAAGGCAUGGAAAGCAUCAUGGGAGUUGUAGUUCUACAACA
rnacentral:miRNA from 1 species